CAAAGGAAGCAGUUCUUCACAAAAAGUAAUCCUUCACUUAAACAAAUGCAGCCUGAAUAUACUGGACCUAGAGCAGUCUGUUUUCCAGCAAGAAGGCUUCCUCCACUACAGGAUUUGAUACUACUACAGAUACACACUGGCUGCCAAAUGAAACACUCCUGAGAAAUGGAAUAGGACUUGGGAAAAGACCAGGGGUUACCACUUCCCUCCUGCUAGAAUAAAGAGUCUGAAGGUAAUGUGUUUUCCUAAGGAACUAAGGAGGCAUGGAGGACUGAAAGCCUUCCAACAGCAGCUUUGGAUUCCUUUAAAUCUUUUUAUUUCAGGGGGAUUAAUAGCCACACCACUAGCUAUACUACUACUUUGGGAAACCUGUUGCCUAGUCUGCUUUUUAAAAACCAGAAACCUUCCACAAGAAGAGUUUCAGUUAUUAAAGCCUUCAAAUGUACAUGUGAUGAGUUAAAAAAAUCAGUUAAGUUGGGUUAAACUCUAAAGAUAAUUUUACCCAAAUGGUGGCUCAGUUACAGCAAAUUUAAAGUUCCUCUUAGAAAUACCAAUGCAAGAAGGGCCAAUGAAGCAUAAAGCUUUUAGAUGUGCUCUCCACAAUAACCAAAGACCUAUACCUUAUAUAUUUAAUUCUCCUUGCAGAGUUUAGAGCAGUUGACUCCCUUCUCAAGGAGGUCUAAUGUUCUCACUGAUUAAAUUUAGCAUACUGUGAAAUUACAGAUGAGUAGAAAAGCAUCAACAUAAUGUGAUAAAAGAAUAAAUGCAUCAAACUAGGUAACUAUCCACCAAAACUAACAUGAGUGAAUAUGGAAUAUUUUACAUUUUGACCCUUAUACUUGAAGGAAAAAAGCUACUGAAGGAUCCAUGAUAGUUUAACAUGGUAAAUCACAGAGAACCUGAGAACUGGAGAGAGUUUUGUUCUUGUUUUUGAAGAGGAGAGCAAGAAUGAUUUGAUCAUUGCUCCAAAGUACUGAUACAAGAUUUCUGAUGACAGGGAACAUGAGCAUCUACCAUGAAACUUAAAUUAAAUUUAAGUUAAAUUUAGCUUCUGUGCUGAUUUUUGCUAAUAAUCUGCCAUGAACAAAUCAGGAACAGGAUGCAAUGAAGCUGAAAUGCGCAGAAGUAGGAUUUAAAAGCUUUCUUAGUUACUUUUUGAAGUACCUUAGAUGUGUUAGAAUAUACAAGAGGAAAAGGUAGUUAUCUGAACACAAUUUGCAUUUUAAAUCAAUUCAGUGGCUAAGGUUAACAUUUGUUUAAUAAACGAGUUAUUUCUUGCAAGAUUCCCAAGUUCUAUCACAAGCCUUUACAAUCCACCCUUAGCUCAGAAUGGGAAAGAAAGCUUUUGUGCUUUUCUAGUUCUCAGUUGUCUCCUCAGCUUUGGCUGAACUAUUUGCCUAAAGGAAAACAAGAAUUCCCUAUGCACUCGCAAAAAUGGUCAGCUUUUAUCAGAAGUUGGUUUGUCCUUUCAAGAAGCCAUUGAAAGGACUUUCAAUCACUCUGUUUUCUUAAAAACCCUCAUAACAAGUCUUUGGUGGGAAAAACCAGAUGAACAGGCAAUAGAAUAAGUUGUAGUAAUUUAUGCCUUUAUGUAUUUCAAAUGUAAUUGUAAGAAAAGUGACUCAAUACAAAAUGGAAGGAUUCAUUUUUAACAAUAUUUAUCCAUUGUGAUACACUUACAAAAAAACUUGGACAUAUGGGUAGAUUUUCAAUUCCUAUACGGUGCAUCCAAACAAAUAGAGUAUCUUUAGAGGGCAGCUGUGCUGUUUGCUUCCCCAAGUAGUAGAAGAUUUACUGUAUAUUUAAAAGCAUUACAAGCAUGUUUUAAAAGGUAACUGUACUACCACCAGGAAUACUUUUUAAACUACUAAUUGCCCGUUGUUAAGUUUGAUCUUCAUUUUAGAUAGGCAGACUAGAGCAUCCAGGUUUAUUUUCUACUUCUCACACAGGGCAAAGCAUUGACACAGCUCCACCAGCAACAGAGAAAUUUUGACUAUACAUAUUUUUUUGUUAGGGAGCCUUUCCACUGUUUGUUAGUUUAAAUUCCAAGAGUGAACAAAGCUGGCCCAUGCACUCUAGAUGUUCAUUAAUAAAGAUUUUAAACGAAUUUCAGUUAUUUUAUAGCUAUAUCAUGAAAGCUUUGCACAAGGGGAGACUGACGUAUGAAGAAAAACACUAGAAAAACCUCACUAAUGUUUGCAAAAAGCUUUUUGGAUUGGGAGAGAAGAGUAAGAAUUUGCUGAUUGUGAUGUUCUUCUAGUGAAACAAGUGAUAAAUGCUGGUCAUACUUUCAAGAAAAAAAGAAAUCAAAAGGGAUAGAUUAUCUCAGCACUACAGAAUUGCUCAGGUCACCUCAUGUACAAGACAAUAAACCAAACACAGCAGUGUAAGAUUUUUCAGCUGUGAAAACCCAUUCCAUUUAAGAAUAAGUUUUAUUGUAGAGUUGCAUUCAAGUAACUUAUUCCUGCAUGGACAAUGUCUCUUUUACAGCUUCAAAACUGGCACUUACGAGACAGUCUCUGGUAUAUCCUCUGGUUUUUUGAAAUGGCCUGCCCACAACAAAAAUCUUUUGUCCCAGUCUGUAGGCUUGUGUCCAGGCACCCUCAAAGUAGACCGACCUAAAAGAACCCCAACAAAACGCACAAACAGAAACAAAACACCACUAAAACCAACAGUCAGAGAAGCUGAGUUGCCACAGCUGCAAUGAAACCAGUUAGGGUGAGCAACGCAGAAGUUUGACUGCUAGAGUUGGUUAGGGAACAAGAAGUAUAUCAGAGUCAGAUUAACAAACCUGUACACAGGGAUUAAACUGAGGCCAUGUAAGGAAAGCCAAAUCUUGCCCAAGACUUCAGUAUUUGUAUCUUUAAAUUUGCAGAACUUGCUCCAACACCUAAGCUGCCUAAGUUGCUGUGAUAGUAUAGUUUUCCUAUUACAUUAGUUUAAAAAAAUUAGAAUAAACCAAAUGGAACUGCUACAGAAAAGCAGAUAUGCUGCACUAUUACAUCACAGAAUGUUAACUUUUCCAGGCAGUGUAAGAUCUUAUCUUAUCUGGAGGCAUAAACAAACAGAUAACCAUAAGCAGAGAUUAGACCCUUAAUUUUCAGCUCAGUUUUUCAAACUCCACAUACAUAAAUACUCAUAAUAGCGGAAAGUUUCCAUGCAUAACAUGCCAUUAAAAUCUAGCAAACAAAGUGCAAAGAUGGACAGCUUUUUUAUUAAACAGUGGGAGGUAUCCUGAAUGGAUGUGUGCUGCCUCGUGGCUUCAUGAAUUAUCUAAGAAGUGCAGUGCAUACAGUUUGCUGACAGCACUGAGUUAUUCAGAAAGAAGAGUGCUACGUGCAAAGAGCUGCAGGGCUUCAGAAUCCCAAGUCAAUGAGAUGGCCAGUGAAAGCCCAUGUGUGUAAACAGGAAGCAAUUCCAGUUGACACACAAAGGACAGACUCUUAACCUAACCAUUAUUGCUGAGGAGCGAGUCCUCAGGGUUUCAUAGAGUUUGUAGCAUAAUAUUCAGUAAAAUUCAGUAAGCACGUAAAGUACAGAUCCCUCAUCUCGGAAACAGUUGAAAUAGAACUGGCACAAAGAAAACUGGGAAGGACCACAGGUAGGGAAUGGCUACCAUGCAAGAAACUGUAUCAUAGAAUGAGACUGUUUGACUUGGAAAAGCUGUAAUUGAAGCUCCCUUCAGCACAACAGAGGGCACCAGAAUCUUAAGUGACAUUAACAGCGUGGGUUAUAACAACCAGGACCUGUUUUGGAAGGGGUACUGAAUAAAGGAACUUCGGGUUCAAAACCACAUCGGGUUCAAAAAACAAAUACAUGAUUCUAUGUGUUUUCUCACAGCAUGGUUCAGCUGAGGAAUUCCUUCUCAGAGAAUGUGGAUGCUAAAAGUACAUCUUGCUUAAGAAGACUGGGCAAA